AGAGUUUGAUCCUGGCUCAGGAUGAACGCUAGCGGCAGGCCUAAUACACGCAAGUCGAGGGGCAGCACAGGUAGCAAUACUGGGUGGCGACCGGCAAACGGGUGCGGAACACGUACGCAACCUUCCUUUAAGCGGGGAAUAGCCCAGAGAAAUUUGGAUUAAUACCCCAUAAGAAUGUGGAAAGGCAUCUUUCAGCAUUUAAAGAUUUAUCACUUAAAGAUGGGCGUGCGUCUGAUUAGGUAGUUGGUGAGGUAACGGCUCACCAAGCCGACGAUCAGUAACUGGCGUGAGAGCGCGACCAGUCACACGGGCACUGAGACACGGGCCCGACUCCUACGGGAGGCAGCGGUAAGGAAUAUUGGUCAAUGGACGGAAGUCUGAACCAGCCAUGCCGCGUGGAGGAUGAAGGCCCUCUGGGUUGUAAACUUCUUUUAUCUGGGACGAAACACUUCUUAUCUAAGGAGCUUGACGGUACCAGGUGAAUAAGCACCGGCUAACUCCGUGCCAGCCGCCGCGGUAAUUC
rnacentral:rRNA from 1 species